CACAUGCAAGUCGAGCGGAAACGAUGGUAGCUUGCUACCAGGCGUCGAGCGGCGGACGGGUGAGUAACGCGUGAGAAUCUGCCCAUUUGUGGGGGAUAACUCGGGGAAACUCGAGCUAAUACCGCAUAAUCCCUACGGGGGAAAGCAGGGGACCUUCGGGCCUUGUGCAGAUGGAUGAGCUCGCGUCGGAUUAGCUUGUUGGUGAGGUAAAGGCUCACCAAGGCGACGAUCCGUAGCUGGUCUGAGAGGAUGAUCAGCCACACCGGGACUGAGACACGGCCCGGACUCCUACGGGAGGCAGCAGUGGGGAAUCUUGGACAAUGGGGGCAACCCUGAUCCAGCCAUGCCGCGUGUGUGAAGAAGGCCUUCGGGUUGUAAAGCACUUUCAGUAGGGAGGAAGGCUUACCGCUAAUAACGGUGAGUACUUGACGUUACCUACAGAAGAAGCACCGGCUAAUUUCGUGCCAGCAGCCGCGGUAAUACGAAAGGUGCGAGCGUUAAUCGGAAUUACUGGGCGUAAAGCGCGCGUAGGCGGUUUGUUAAGUCAGAUGUGAAAGCCCCGGGCUCAACCUGGGAAUUGCAUUUGAAACUGGCAGGCUAGAGUGCAGUAGAGGGAGGUGGAAUUUCCGGUGUAGCGGUGAAAUGCGUAGAGAUCGGAAGGAACACCAGUGGCGAAGGCGGCCUCCUGGACUGACACUGACGCUGAGGUGCGAAAGCGUGGGGAGCAAACAGGAUUAGAUACCCUGGUAGUCCACGCCGUAAACGAUGUCUACUAGUCGUUGGGAAUCUUAGUAUUCUUGGUGACGAAGUUAACGCGAUAAGUAGACCGCCUGGGGAGUACGGCCGCAAGGUUAAAACUCAAAUGAAUUGACGGGGGCCCGCACAAGCGGUGGAGCGUGUGUUUAAUUCGAUGCAACGCGAAAACCUUACCAGGCCUUGACAUCCUUGGACUUUCUAGAGAUAGAUUGGUGCCUUCGGGAGCAAGUGACAGGUGCUGCAUGGCUGUCGUCAGCUCGUGGUCGUGAGAUCGUCGAGUUAAGUCCCGUAACGAGCGCCACCCUUGUCCUAAUUGUGCACGCACUUCGGGGGAACUCUAGGGAGAACGUGCGGGUGUGAAAAACAGAAGAAAAAGUGGAAAACUCCAGGA
rnacentral:rRNA from 1 species